rnacentral:rRNA from 1 species
GUUAUAGGAUCAAGCGAAUAAGUGCAUGUGGUGGAUGCCUUGGCGAUCACAGGCGAUGAAGGACGUGUAAGCCUGCGAAAAGCUGCGGGGAGCUGGCAAUAGAGCUUUGAUCCGCAGAUGUCCGAAUGGGGAAACCCGGCCCUUUUAGGGUCAUCCCGUGCUGAAUACAUAGGCACGUGGAGGCGAACGCGGCGAACUGAAACAUCUAAGUAGCCGCAGGAAAAGAAAUCAACCGAGAUUCCCAAAGUAGUGGCGAGCGAAAUGGGACCAGCCUGUACGACUAAACCAGAGAUUCAACAAAACGGGAUGGAAAGCCCGGCCAUAGAAGGUGAUAGCCCUGUAUGUGAAGUGUUUCUGGCGGGUCUGAGCGUACGACAAGUAGGGCGGGACACGUGGAAUCCUGUCUGAAUAUGGGGGGACCAUCCUCCAAGGCUAAAUACUCGUGAUCGACCGAUAGUGAACCAGUACCGUGAGGGAAAGGCGAAAAGAACCCCGGGAGGGGAGUGAAAUAGAUCCUGAAACCGCAUGCAUACAAACAGUGGGAGCCUCCUUGAGGGGUGACUGCGUACCUUUUGUAUAAUGGGUCAGCGACUUACGUUCAGUGGCGAGCUUAACCGAAUAGGGGAGGCGUAGCGAAAGCGAGUCUGAUAAGGGCGACUUAGUCGCUGGGCGUAGACCCGAAACCGGAUGAUCUAUCCAUGGCCAGGAUGAAGGUGCCGUAACAGGUACUGGAGGUCCGAACCCACUAACGUUGAAAAGUUAGGGGAUGAGCUGUGGAUAGGGGUGAAAGGCCAAACAAAUCCGGAAAUAGCUGGUUCUCCCCGAAAACUAUUUAGGUAGUGCGUCGUACGGACACUUCCGGGGGUAGAGCACUGUCAUCGUUGGGGGGGUCAUUGCGAUUUACCCCGCGAUAGCAAACUCCGAAUACCGGAAAGUGAUAUACGGCAGACAGACAUCGGGUGCUAACGUCCGGUGUCAAGAGGGAAACAACCCAGACCGCCAGCUAAGGUCCCAAAUACAUGGCUAAGUGGUAAACGAAGUGGGAAGGCACAGACAGCUAGGAGGUUGGCUUAGAAGCAGCCACCCUUUAAAGAAAGCGUAAUAGCUCACUAGUCGAGUCGUCCUGCGCGGAAGAUGUAACGGGGCUCAAGCCAUGAACCGAAGCUGCGGAUGCGUAUUUAUACGCAUGGUAGGGGAGCGUUCUGUAAGCCUGCGAAGGUGUCUCGUAAGGGAUGCUGGAGGUAUCAGAAGUGCGAAUGCUGACAUGAGUAGCGAUAAAGGGAGUGAAAAGCUCCCUCGCCGAAAACCCAAGGUUUCCUGCGCAACGUUCAUCGGCGCAGGGUGAGUCGGCCCCUAAGGCGAGGCAGAAAUGCGUAGUCGAUGGGAAACAGGUCAAUAUUCCUGUACCACUCUUUAAUGCGAUGGGGGGACGGAGAAGGUUAGAUCAGCCGGGCGUUGGAUAUCCCGGUUUAAGCGUGUAGUCGUGCCUGGUAGGCAAAUCCGCCGGGCUUAGACGAGGCGUGAUGACGAGGGCUCAUUGAGCCUGAAGUGAUUAAUACCAUGCUUCCAGGAAAAGCCUCUAAGCUUCAGUUAAAGAGUGACCGUACCGCAAACCGACACAGGUGGGUAGGUAGAAAAUACCAAGGCGCUUGAGAGAACUCAGGAGAAGGAACUCGGCAAAUUGACACCGUAACUUCGGGAGAAGGUGUGCCUCUUGUAUGUGAAAGCCUUCGCGGCUGGAGCAGAAGGAGGUCUCAGAGAAUCGGUGGCUGCGACUGUUUAUUAAAAACACAGCACUCUGCAAACACGAAAGUGGACGUAUAGGGUGUGACGCCUGCCCGGUGCCGGAAGGUUAAGUGAUGGGGUGCAAGCUCUUGAUCGAAGCCCCGGUAAACGGCGGCCGUAACUAUAACGGUCCUAAGGUAGCGAAAUUCCUUGUCGGGUAAGUUCCGACCUGCACGAAUGGCGUAACGAUGGCCACACUGUCUCCUCCUGAGACUCAGCGAAGUUGAAAUGGUUGUGAAGAUGCAAUCUACCCGCGGCUAGACGGAAAGACCCCAUGAACCUUUACUGCAGCUUUGCAUUGGACUUUGACGGGAUUUGUGUAGGAUAGGUGGGAGGCUUUGAAGUGGGGACGCCAGUUCUCAUGGAGCCAACCUUGAAAUACCACCCUGAUGUCGUUGAGGUUCUAACCUUGGCCCGUGAAUCCGGGUCGGGGACCGUGCAUGGUGGGCAGUUUGACUGGGGCGGUCUCCUCCUAAAGAGUAACGGAGGAGUACGAAGGUCUUCUAGGUACGGUCGGACAUCGUACUGAUAGUGCAAUGGCAAAAGAAGGCUUGACUGCGAGACCUACAAGUCGAGCAGGUGCGAAAGCAGGUCAUAGUGAUCCGGUGGUUCUGUAUGGAAGGGCCAUCGCUCAACGGAUAAAAGGUACUCUGGGGAUAACAGGCUGAUUCCGCCCAAGAGUUCACAUCGACGGCGGAGUUUGGCACCUCGAUGUCGGCUCAUCACAUCCUGGGGCUGUAGCCGGUCCCAAGGGUAUGGCUGUUCGCCAUUUAAAGUGGUACGUGAGCUGGGUUUAAAACGUCGUGAGACAGUUUGGUCCCUAUCUGCCGUGGGCGUUGGAAGUUUGAGAGGGGCUGCUCCUAGUACGAGAGGACCGGAGUGGACGAACCUCUGGUGUACCGGUUGUCACGCCAGUGGCAUCGCCGGGUAGCUAAGUUCGGAAGAGAUAACCGCUGAAAGCAUCUAAGCGGGAAACUUGCCUCAAGAUGAGACUUCCCCCGUGACUCGAUCACGCUAAAGGGUCGUUCAAGACCAGGACGUUGAUAGGCUGGGUGUGGAAGCGCAGUAAUGCGUUAAGCUAACCAGUACUAAUUGCCCGUGAGGCUUGAUCCUAUAACCUU